UACAGAGGUGGCAAGCGUUGUUCGGAAUUACUGAGCGUAAAGGGCGCGUAGGCGGUUCGUUAAGUCCUGUGUGAAAUCCCCCGGCUCAACUGGGGAACUGCACAGGAAACUAGCGGGCUUGAGUUCGGGAGAGGGAAGCGGAAUUCCGGGUGUAGCGGUGAAAUGCGUAGAUAUCCGGAGGAACACCGGUGGCGAAGGCGGCUUCCUGGACCGACACUGACGCUGAGGCGCGAAAGCUAGGGGAGCAAACGGG
rnacentral:rRNA from 1 species